rnacentral:lncRNA from 1 species
AGGUUCUCAGGAAGCUGAAGCAACAGAUAUCGCCACUGCUGCUGAAGAAUUAUUGUCAUGUCAUAAUAAUGGCGGGGUUGUGGGGGUUUCAGGUUCUCAGGCAGCUGAAGCAACAGAUAUCGCCACUGCUGCUGAAGAAUUAUUGUCAUGUCAUAAUAAUGGCGGGUUAGGUGGCGAUGGUGAUGUAAUAGCAGGUCUACCUCUGGCCGAUUCGUUUAAUGAGUCCGGAAAGGAAGAUGCUUUUAUUUUAGCAGAAGUAUCAUGUGGACCACCUAGUCAUACACUGGCUGCUCAAGUUGAUAAGGCUCUGGAAAAUUUGAACGAUGAAAACCUAGUGGAUGGUAGUGAGUGGCCAGAAAACAACUGCUUUACUUCUGAAACUGGAAAUGGAACUGAAAAUAUGAUAGGGCAGCAGAAGUAGGACCACAUGGAACUUGCCUUUCAGGUUCUCAGGCAGCUGAAGCAACAGAUAUCGCCACUGCUGCUGAAGAAUUAUUGUCAUGUCAUAAUAAUGGCGGGUUAGGUGGCGAUGGUGAUGUAAUAGCAGGUCUACCUCUGGCCGAUUCGUUUAAUGAGUCCGGAAAGGAAGAUGCUUUUAUUUUAGCAGAAGUAUCAUGUGGACCACCUAGUCAUACACUGGCUGCUCAAGUUGAUAAGGCUCUGGAAAAUUUGAACGAUGAAAACCUAGUGGAUGGUAGUGAGUGGCCAGAAAACAGCUGCUUUACUUCUGAAGCUGGAAAUGGAACUGAAAAUAUGAUAAGCAAUGCAGUUUUAUUGGAGGCUGCCCAAGACAGUGCUACAGUUAAAGAUGCAACUAAUGUAG